GCCUUCUUAGCAUACCUUCGUGGUGUAGUGCUGGACACGUAAUCCAGAGGUCCGUGGUUCGAGUCCCGGCGAAGGCA
rnacentral:tRNA from 1 species